GUGGCAUAGGCUAGGACAGGGUGCAGCAACCUUUUGGCACUCCAGCGCUGCUGUGAAACUACAACACCCAGCAUGCACACUUGCUCAGCUGUUCUUGUAACUCCCAAAGAAGUGAAAGGAGGAUACUGGGAGUUGUAGUUUCAGAACAGCUGGAGUGCCGGAGGUUGCUGAUCCCUGAUCUAGAGGCUGUCAUUAUGUGUUAUGCUUGAUCUUGCUAUAAAGGGGAGUU